AGCAACAAUAGCUUAAUAAAGAGCAUUGGUCUUGUAAGUCAAAGGUGAAUAAAUAUAUUUCUUGUUGCUA
rnacentral:tRNA from 1 species